UGGGGUUGGGGCUGGUGGAGGUGCCCCCCCCCCCACUCCCCCUCUGCUUCCCCCCCCCUCCCCCCCCCAGUGCUUCCCCCAGCCCUUCGGUCACAGGGCAGCCUUCUGAGCUGGUGCAGCAACUGGGAGAUUUGGCCGAAACAGAAAUCAAUUGUUGAAAGUGCCCUGGGCGGGUUCCUUUGCCCCCCACCCCGGGGGAGAAACGUGAGCCGAAGAUCUUCCCCACUCUCUGCAUGGCCGGUCUCUUUGCGAGGGGAGGAUGGGGGGGUGGAGCAGGACCCCCCCCCGCCCCUUGGAACUGCUGACACCACAAACUCUUUUGAACGGAGGAGACUGAAGCCUGGGGCCCCUCGGAGCCCCCCAGGCGGCCCAGCUCCGGGGCGCAGGGGCUCACGGAAGGCGUCCAGCCCCCUCCAGCCUGGGCGGAGGACAGAGCGGGCCCAGCCUGGGGGGGCUUCGGAGGAGAAGGGCGUGCAGAGGAGGUCCGCUCUCCCCAAGCCCCACAACCACCGUAGUCGCUUCCUCCGGGGGGCGCUGCGGAAACGGAGGCUGCCCACUUGGAGAAGGUUGCAAAAGACGGACGCUCUUUCGUCAUGCCGGCUUCCUGAAGUGUCGCGACGCUUCCUCUCUCGUGCACUGCCCACCUCGGGGGGCUUUUGGGAAAGGCAGCUGGCCGAGGCCGGGAUCCUCUCAGCCAGCCUGUAUCUGGGGGGGGGGGGGGGGGGGGGGGGGGGGGAGCCCCAUUUUCAGCACUGUAUCACGGAAGGCGUCUCGGAAGCCUCUCUGCACCCAUCUCCCUGCUCCAGGACACUUGUGGGCCUGGGUUAGUCGGCCCCACCAGCCAGCCCGGCCUUGACCUCCGAGCCAUUGGGAGCCGGAGUCCAGAGUACCGUUUUCCAGUGGUUUUUAGUAUUCUACCGACGGACCAAACUUCACCUCCUGCCGUUGAGAUUUCAGUAUUAAACCCCUUUUGAGAAGCUUGUAAAACGCCAGUCAGGGUUUCUAGCUCUGCCUUCAACCUCCCUUCUGGCUCAUAUUUUUUAGCAAUCUGUAAGAAUCCGAAUUCAUUUGCACGUACGAAGCAUCCUCUUGGGUUGCACUUGGAGGUGGCACAUCUUUCUGGCCCGAGCAAAGCCUCUCAGAAGCAGCGAUUGUUCCGAAAAGGUUUUAGGGUGUUGUUGAGGGGGACGUACCUCUAUCUGGGAGGGAGAACACCUGUUUUUGUUCCUUCCGUAUUUGAAGGGAGAGCAAGAAAGUGAAAAAGGACAGUUGUGUUCCCAGUGAGUUUUAUAGAUAUUUUUGUGAAGCAUUUAACGAGAAAUGGGCCAACAUUGAAUGUUGGCUGCAGAGAAGAUGGAUGAAGGUAGGUCCCUGAGAUCAGGGUAAAUAAAAGGCCAGCUCUAUUUUUGAGAAAAGAAUUU
rnacentral:lncRNA from 1 species